rnacentral:lncRNA from 1 species
GGUGAGAGAGGAACAGGUGAGAGGGAACAGGUGAGACUGGGACAGGUGGGACUGGGACAGGUGAGACUGGGACAGGUGGGACUGGGACAGGUGAGACUGGGACAGGUGAGAGAGGAACAGGUGAGAGGGAACAGGUGAGACUGGGACAGGUGGGACUGGAACAGGUGAGAAGAAUCGGGUUGGGACAGAAGGGAGAAACAGGCGAGCUGACAGGUGGAGGUACAGGUGAGCCCAGGUGGCACAGGUGCCAGGUGAGCCCAGGUGGCACAGGUCCAGGUGUGGGUACAGGUGAGGCUCAGGUGGCACAGGUGUGGGUACAGGUGAGCCCAGUUGGCACAGGUCCAGGUGACCCAGCUGGCACAGGUGCCAGGUGAGCCAGGCCCUCACCUGUGCGGCUCUCCCUGACGAAGCUCUGGAUGAUGGCGCUCUUCCUGCACAGAUCCUC